GCAUCCUGGGGAACAGGAAAGAGAACCCUCAGACGCCACACAGGGCUCGGUGGCAGGUCCCUCCCGAGGCCCCGCUUCCAAGGGAAUCACAGAGAUACACAGGUGCCACUGGGGCUCAGCAGAACUGGGGUCUGCUGCUCCUUCCAGAAAGCACUUUGUAGGCAGCUGCUGUCUUCUCAAAGCUGCAUCUGGCGGCCCCUCCCACAGGGACACUGGGAGUGGCAGGGCCGCUGCAGCUGUCACAUGAGCCCUGGCGCCAGGCCAGCCUGGGCAAGGAUCCACCCUCUGUAGGCAGGCACCUGCAUCCCUGAGCCCAGGCCCCAGUCUGUCUAAUGGGGCAGCAGUGCCUUCCACGAUAGGUCGGUGGGAGAAUGGAGUGGAUGCUGGGCCGAAGCUGCCCACAGGGGACAGUCCGUGGAGACGUGGCCCGCAGUCAGGAGGAGCUCGCCGCACAGCCCAGCCCGGCACAUACCCUGCCUUCCCGGCCUCCACAGCCAGUUCACCUCGGCUCCUGUGGGGCAGCCCACCCACACCUACCACCCUGUUUGCCACUGGAGGGCUCUGAGGGCCGUGAUUCAAGGCAUCAUGAAUCAUGACAAAGGGCUUGAGGGCUGCUGGGUGUGGCUCUCAGAGGUGACAGCACACUCAGGACUGGGUGUCCAGGGUGACUCUUCUAAGUGAUUGUUAGACCCUGUGAAAGGUAAACAGGCUCAUGUCCUUCCACUAAGCAGAUUCUUAGUGGGAACCAUGUACUCAUCCACAUCCACCCACAAGGUGUGUGUGUCACCGAGCAGCUUGCAGAGCAGUUACUCCAGAGCCUCAUGGCGCUCCUUGCAGUCCCUAGGGUGUACUGAAUCAUAGGCUUUCUUGGCCUCUCAGAGUCACUUUUAAUAACAGUCCACACACUAAUUAGGCCAUUUUGGAAGGAGAACCCCCAACUCCUUCCCUGGGCAGUUCAGGUGCCUCUGCUCUGUCCUCCACCCCCUGCAGCCCAUUAACAAGCCUGGUCCAAAGUGUCACUUGUCACGUGACUCUGCUGUUGGACAUCAGCCAAGGGAAGCCAUGGGGCUCUCAGGGGAAGUCACAUCAUCAAGCAGUUGAAGAACAAUCGAAGUGUGGGCCAAGCACUCCCACCCUCAACCAGUGACAGCGAUCAGAUGGUGGAGGAGACAAGGAGAAAGACAUUUGCUAGGCCAAGAUUUUUUUAUUUGCACCUCUAGCAAGAAGAAAAAAGCACUCCCUUUUCUAGGAGCUGCCCAACUCAGAACUUCCCAUUCACUUUAUUUUAUUUUUAAAUUUUUUGAGACAGAGUCUCACUCUGUCACUCAGGCUGGAGUGCAAUGGCACGAUCUCCUCUCACUGCAACCUCCGCCUCCCGGGUUCAAGCGAUUCUUCCACCUCAGCCUGCUGACUACCUGGGAUUACAGGCACCUGUCAUCAUGCCCAACUAAUUUUUAUAGAGAUGGGGUUUUACCAUGUUGGCCAGGCUGGUCUUAAACCCCUGACCUCAGGUGAUCCUCCCGCCUCAGCCUCCCAAAGUGUCGGGAUUACAGGUGUGAGCCACUGCGCCCAGCCCCAUUCACUUUAAAGUUUUCUUUGUCUGUGGUUUAAAACACUAAAUCUCACCCCCUCCCCUCACUUAUGGCCCGUAACAUUGCCGCAGGACGUCCCACCGACUGUCGGGGAGAGAACAGCACCGCCAGCUCUGGCCAGACUCCAGGCUCUGGCAGCAGAAUGUCCACAGCCGAUCUUGGUUGUGGACCCAUUUUGUAAUAAAAUUUGCCCCACAGGGAAAGGACGCGUGUUUUUUGUUUCUGUGUGUUACUGUGUGGCAUAGUAUAAAGUUGGAACUGGGAAAUGUAGUUAUUGAACGAAGGAGAGUUGGUUUGUUUCCAGAAAGAAGCAUCAACCUACAAGCCGAGAGGAGGACGAGAUCCUACCGAGAGGCGGCAGAUCCCCGGACAAACACCCGCUGCAGCCCACAACAAAGGCACUAGGGAGGAAGCGUGCGAAGGAGAUGUCCACACAGCACAUCCGCUCAGCUUUCCCAGGCACUCAGCUCAGCAAAGAAAUUGUGUCUUAGGGCCCGGGAGAAGAAAGGAGGGAGAAAAGGACGGGAGGAAGAACAGGAAAGAACAAAGAAUAGAAGAGAAAGUUGGGGAACAGAAAGGAAGAAGUGGCUCCUCUUAGUCAGCAAGCCUGGGCGGGGAGAGGCUCCGUGAGAAGCACCCGCAAGUCUUGGCCUCAGCCCACAGACAUCACCCGAGUGCACGGCCAGGACUUGCAAAGGACUUACCAUGGGGGCCAAGCCUUGAGGCUCCCUGCUGCCCUUCUAAGGAGCAACGCCCUUAUGCUUUAAGUGAAAAAACAAUUGCCAGUCCCCAAAAUGGUUCUUGUCCUUGAAGGCCAGAGCAGGAGAGCACAGUGUUUCCCACGGGCCACCAUGCCUGCACCCCGAACUCUGCACCCCACCCAGAGCUGCUCCCGACCUUGGCCUCCACAAGACGGCUCUGAAUGUAGCUUUUUUUCACUUAUUUCUCCUUAGAGACAGGGUCUUGUUCUGUUGCCCAGGCUGGAGUGCAGUGGUGCAAUCAUAGCUCACAGUAACCUUGAACUUCCAGGCUCAAGCAAUCCUCCCACUUCAGCUUCCCCAGUAGCUGGGACUACAGGUGUGUACCACUAGGUGCAGCUAAUUUGUAAAAAUUUUCUGUAGAGAGGGAUUCCCAUUAUGUUGCCCAGACUGGUCUCAAACCCCUGGCCUCAAGUGAUCCUCCAGCCUCAGCCUCCCAAAGCACUUACUCCCAAAGGGAUUACUGGCAUGAACCACUGUGCCCAGCCUCACGUAUUUCUUAAUUUGCACCAUUAAUGGCCAACUUAUAGUCCCUUCUGCAAAUGUCAAAUUACAACCUGAAGAAGUACUUUAAGUUAGAAAUGAAAAGUUAGAAUCUGUUCACCCCAUACAAUUAAGAAACCAUGAUGGCUAUCGUGACCUCCUGGAAAAAAGGGGGCUCUGAGGUUGUAGGUUCAGCCUCAGAGCGAGUUCAUUUGGGAACUGCUUUUGUCCACAGAAGAUCACACAAGGACAUGAAUGGUUUCUCAAAGCCUUCCAACAACAUGAGUCCCAAAUGCUGACGAGCAAGAAAUAUUGUGCAUUUUUCAUAAAGCUAAAUUAGGUCAACUCAAAGGAUGGCCCUGUUUUCAGAGACGAUGCCUUUCCCAUAUUAAAGAGUAUAACUGUGUCAGUGGUAGAUGGCGAGUUUCUCUUUAUUUAUGUCCAUGCUUGGAAAGACCAGAAUGUUGGCACACCUCUGUUGGCUGCCUGCCAUCCCCUCCCAUUUUGCAGAAACUUUACUUGUCCAUGAAAUUGAAAAGUCAGAGAACUACUGCCCUAAAAUCCCAAGGUCAAAAUCAACAGAAUUGUCUUUUGACAUACACCACACUUCUGACUGCAAGGGUAAUCAUUAAAAUGAAAUCCCACUUUGACAAGCUUGGUCGGGCACCCAUAUUUGGGGCAUGUAAAGCUUUAGAU